UAGCCAUGAUGUGGACAAGUGUUUAGAAGUUCCUUAAACAUCUCCCAACAUUGAAAGAAGGUUUCAUCUUCUUUUUGGGAAAAAAAUCAUUAUGGCUCUUCUGAGGGU